rnacentral:tRNA from 1 species
GGUAAGAUGGCUGAGUGUUUAAGCGGUGGAUUGUAGCUCCAUGUAUAGAGGUUAGAGUCCUUUUCUUAUCA